AUUGAACGCUGGCGGCAUGCCUUACACAUGCAAGUCGAACGGCAGCACGGAGAGCUUGCUCUCUGAUGGCGAGUGGCGAACGGGUGAGUAAUGCAUCGGAACGUACCUUAUCGUGGGGGAUAACGCAGCGAAAGCUGUGCUAAUACCGCAUACGCCCUGAGGGGGAAAGCGGGGGAUCGCAAGACCUCGCGCGAUUAGAGCGGCCGAUGCCUGAUUAGCUUGUUGGUGGGGUAAAAGCCCACCAAGGCGACGAUCAGUAGCUGGUCUGAGAGGACGAUCAACCACACUGGGACUGAGACACGGCCCAGACUCCUACGGGAGGCAGCAGUGGGGAAUUUUGGACAAUGGGGGCAACCCUGAUCCAGCAAUGCCGCGUGAGUGAAGAAGGCCUUCGGGUUGUAAAGCUCUUUUGUCAGGGAAGAAACAGCAGCUCUAACACAGUAUGCGAAUGACGGUACCUGAAGAAUAAGCACCGGCUAACUACGUGCCAGCCGCCGCAGUAA
rnacentral:rRNA from 1 species